CACGGCCGUUGGUCCGGGCGGGUGAGGGAGAAAGUGAGACUUGGUGUCAUCACCAUCCAUUGUCAGAAGGGGAGGAAAUUGGAAUCCAGCAGCGGCGAGCAGCAGCUGGGCGGUCACAUCUGGGAAUGCAAAGCCGACCUCCCCCUCCUCCUCCUCCUCCCCCUCCUCCUCCUCCUCUUCUCUCACCCAGGAUCACUUCCGAAACCACUUCGCCUUCAGCCCCUGCCUCGGCCAGAGGUUUCAUUUUUAACUGAAUAUUUACGAAAGCUGGAAGCGUGCGAGGGGGGUGGGGUGGGGUGGAAAUAGCGGCUGCUUCUUUUCCAGGGAUUUAUUUAAUGGGGAUGUGUUCAAGGCAAGAGCGAAUUCAGAAGGAUAUCGACGUCGUGAUCCAGAAGUCCAGAGCUGAGAAGGACUGCCUGUUUGCAGAUUUCAGAUACUCUGACUCCACCUUUACUUUUACCUACGUUGGCGGCCCCAGAAGGUA
rnacentral:lncRNA from 1 species